rnacentral:pre_miRNA from 1 species
CAACUACUCCCUCUGUCCCAAAUUUCUUGUCUUAGAUUUGUCUAGAUACGGAUGUAUCUAAUACUAAAAUGUGACUUGAUACAUCCUUAUCUAGACAAAUCUAAGACAAGAAUUUUGGGACAGAGGGAGUACUUU